AACGCAUAUUGCACUCUUUGGUAUUCCGAAGAGUAUGCCUGUUUGAGGGUCAUUUGAAAAUUAAUCAAGUUUAAUCUUGGAAUAAUGAGUUUUCCGUGUUAUCAUAUCAUCGUAUGGUAAUUGGUCACUCGAAAUUAAUGUCAUGUCUUGGCUUGUAACAGACGCGUUUAUUUUAAAUUUUAAAUGUUCGCAACUAAUCAAGUCUUGUGUAAUGGCAUGUUUAAUUUUUCCCUUUUAAAAAGAGGAAGAAAUCGAACAACUUUUUAUAAUCGUGACCUCAAAUCAGGUAAGAGUACCCGCUGAACUUAA
rnacentral:misc_RNA from 1 species